rnacentral:rRNA from 1 species
UACGGAGGGUGCGAGCGUUGUCCGGAAUCACUGGGCGUAAAGGGCGCGUAGGCGGCCUGAUAAGUAGGGGGUGAAAUCCUGCGGCUUAACCGCAGGGCUGCCUUCUAAACUGUCAGGCUAGAGCACAGUAGAGGCAGGUGGAAUUCCCGGUGUAGCGGUGAAAUUCGUAGAUAUUGGGAAGAACACCGGUGGCGAAGGCGGCGACCUGGUCCGAUACUGACGCUGAGGCGCGAAAGCGUGGGGAGCAAACAGG